AUUGAACGCUGGCGGCAGGCCUAACACAUGCAAGUCGAACGAGUGGCGGACGGGUGAGUAAUGUCUGGGAAACUGCCUGAUGGCGGGGGAUAACUACUGGAAACGGUAGCUAAUACCGCAUACCAUCGGAUGUGCCCAGAUGGGCUUAGCGCGUAGGUGGGGUAACGGCUCACCUAGGCGACGCUCCCUAGCUGGUCUGAGAGGAUGACCAGCCACACUGGAACUGAGACCCGGUCCAGACUCCUACGGGAUGCAGCAGUGGGGAAUAUUGCGCAAUGGGCGCAAGCCUGAUACAGCCAUGCCGCGUGUAUGAAGAAGGCCUUCGGGUGGUAAAGUGCUUUCAGCGGGGAGGCGUUACCCGCAGAAGAAGCACCGGCUAACUCCGUGCCAGCAGCCGCGGUAAUUC
rnacentral:rRNA from 1 species